AACAGGAUUAGAUACCCUGGUAGUCCACGCCCUAAACGAUGUCAACUAGGUGUUGGGGAAGGAGACUUCUUUAGUACCGCAGCUAACGCGUGAAGUUGACCGCCUGGGGAGUACGGUCGCAAGAUUAAAACUCAAAGGAAUUGACGGGGACCCGCACAAGCGGUGGAUUAUGUGGAUUAAUUCGAUGCAACGCGAAAAACCUUACCUACCCUUGACAUGUCAGGAAGAUCGCAGAGAUGUGAUUGUGCCCGAAAGGGAACCUGAACACAGGUGCUGCAUGGCUGUCGUCAGCUCGUGUCGUGAGAUGUUGGGUUAAGUCCCGCAACGAGCGCAACCCUUGUCAUUAAUUGCCAUCAUUUAGUUGGGCACUUUAAUGAGACUGCCGGUGAUAAACCGGAGGAAGGUGGGGAUGACGUCAAGUCCUCAUGGCCCUUAUGGGUAGGGCUUCACACGUAAUACAAUGGUCGGUACAGAGGGUUGCCAGCCCGCGAGGGGGAGCUAAUCUCAGAAAGCCGAUCGUAGUCCGGAUUGUUCUCUGCAACUCGAGAGCAUGAAGUCGGAAUCGCUAGUAAUCGCGGAUCAGCAUGUCGCGGUGAAUACGUUCCCGGGUCUUGUACACACCGCCCGUCACACCAUGGGAGUGGAAUCUGGCAGAAGUAGGUAGCCUAACCGCAAGGAGGGCGCUUACCACGCUGGGUUUCAUGACUGGGGUGAAGUCGUAACAAGGUAACC
rnacentral:rRNA from 1 species